rnacentral:rRNA from 1 species
GUGAGGAAUAUUGGUCAAUGGGCGAGAGCCUGAACCAGCCAAGUCGCGUGAGGGAGUACUGCCCUAUGGGUUGUAAACCUCUUUUGUCGGGGAGCAAAAGCCGGACGUGUCCGGCUGUGAGAGUACCCGAAGAAAAAGCAUCGGCUAACUCCGUGCCAGCAGCCGCGGUAAUACGGAGGAUGCGAGCGUUAUCCGGAUUUAUUGGGUUUAAAGGGUGCGCAGGCGGAUUUUUAAGUCAGCGGUCAAAUCGUGGGGCUCAACCCCAUCCAGCCGUUGAAACUGGGGAUCUAGAGUGUGCGAGAGGUAUGCGGAAUGCGUGGUGUAGCGGUGAAAUGCAUAGAUAUCACGCAGAACCCCGAUUGCGAAGGCAGCAUACCGGUGCACAACUGACGCUCAGGCACGAAAGCGUGGGUAUCGAACAGGAUUAGAAACCCGGGUAGUCC